GCUAAUACCGGAUAAGGCCACAUGGGCUUCGGGCCAUGGGGUCAAAGUCGGCCUCUCAAAGAAACUGGCGCCCAAGGAGGGGCUCGCGUACCAUUAGCUUGUUGGUAGGGUAACGGCCUACCAAGGAACAGAUGGUUAGCUGGUCUGAGAGGAUGAUCAGUCACACUGGAACUGACACACGGUCCAGACUCCUACGGGAGGCAGCACUGAGGAAUAUUGCGCAAUGGGGGAAACCCUGACGCAGCAACGCCGCGUGGGUGAAGAAGGCCCUCGGAUUGUAAAGCCCUGUCACGUGCGAAUAGCCCUUUUCAGGUUAAUACCCUGGAGAGCUGACGGUGCCACCAAAGGAAGCACCGGCUAACUCCGUGCCAGCAGCCGCGUUUAAGACGGAGGGUGCAAGCGUUGUUCGGAAUUACUGGGCGUAAAGAGCGUUGACGCGCUUCUGUAAAUUGGCCGUGAAAGCCCUGGGAAUAACUCAGGAAAGCCCUUCAAUUCUGUGAAACUUGAGGGCAGCAGAGGGAGGUGGAAUUCCCGGAGUAGCGGUGAAUUGCGUAGAUAUCCGGAGGAACACCAGUGCCGAAGGCGGCAUCCUGGCCUCAUCCUGGCACUGAAGGCGAAACCUCGGGGAGCAAACGGGAUUAGAAACCCCGCUAGUCCUAACUGUAAACGACGGAUCCUAGCUGUCAGGGGUGUAGAUUCCCUGCGAACCGCAUAAAUCGCGCUAAGCAUGAGUCCUGGGGCAUACGUCCACAUGAAUAAAAUUCAAGGGAAUUGACGCAGGCGCGCACACACAGCGGAGCGUGUGGUGUACUUCGAUGAUCCACGACGAACCUUACCUGAGCUUGACAUACAGGUAAUAGCGAAGUGAAAGCGGAUCGACCCUUCGGGGAGCCCGUACAGGUGUUGCAUGGCUGUCGUCAGCUCGUGCCUUGAGGUCUCGGGUUAAGUCACGUAUCGAGCGCAACCCCUGCUGUUAGUUAUGGGUGUUUUAGAGGACCGCCGGCGGUAAGCCGGGAGAAGGGGGGGAAGGCGUCAAAUUAGCCUGGCCCUUAAGUGCAGGGCUUCCCCCCCUCUUCCAAGGCCGGUACAAGAGGUAGGUAAACCCCGAGGUGGAACCAAUUCUCUAAAGCCGGUCUCAGUUCGAAUUGCAGGUUGCAACUCGCCUGCAUGAAGUUGGAAUUGCUAGUAAUCGCAGAUCAGCCAUGUUGCGGUGAAUACGUUCCCGGGC
rnacentral:rRNA from 1 species